rnacentral:rRNA from 1 species
AGAGAUGUGUGAUGACGCAUAUCAAUAAGCGGAGGAAAAGAAACUAACAAGGAUUCCCUUAGUAACGGCGAGUGAAGCGGGAAGAGCUCAAAUUUGAAAUCUUCAAGGUUCUACCUUGACGAAUUGUAGUUUAUAGAAGUGUUUUCUGUUAGUGGAGUGGCAAAAGUUCUUUGGAAUAGGACAUCAUAGAGGGUGAGAAUCCCGUAUUUGGUCAUUCCUUCUAGCUUUGUGAUACACUUUCAAAGAGUCGGAUUGUUUGGGAAUGCAGUCCAAAAUGGGUGGUAAAUUUCAUCUAAAGCUAAAUAUUGGCGAGAGACCGAUAGCGAACAAGUACCGUGAGGGAAAGAUGAAAAGAACCUUGAAAAGAGAGUUAAACAGUACGUGAAAUUGUCAAAAGGGAAGCGUUUGACACCAGUGUUGUUUUUCCGAAAAUCAAUUACGAAUGUUUUGUUUUUGAGGAGUUAUGACUUCAUCGGCUUGCUCCUUUCUUUACGAAACUUUCUUAAUGCACUUUUCGGUUAACAAGUCAACAUCAAUUUCUUUAGUUGUAAAAGGGUAUGAGGAAGGUGGCUUUCUUUUCGGAGAAAGUGUUUAUAGCCUUGUACCUCUGCAAUCGGAGAGAUUGAGGUCUGCAGCGUAGAUCCUUCGGGGUUAGAUACAUUUGUGCUAAGUUAUAGCUUUUCAUAGACAACUUGUUGACUAUGUUAAGUCUUGUAGCUUACUCGCUUAUGCUAUUUUACCUACGCUUAGGAUGUUGACAGCAGUAUAGACUGU